ACCGUGAGAUCAUGACCUGAGCCGACAUCAAGAGUCACACAUUCAAUCGUUUGAGCCACUCAGGUGCCCCAGGUUUUUCUUUUCUCUUUUUAAUUUGAGUCUUUCUAGUUGAUGUGCAGCGAUAAGCAAUGAAUUGGUAUUUCUCCGACUAGGGAUGUCGAGCAUCUUUUCACGUGGUCGUUGGCCAUCUGUCUGUCUUCUUUCACCCAAGUGUCUAAUGUUUGGGCCACAUUUCGUUGGGUGUCUGUACUUUUGUUGCAGAGCCAAGAAUUCCUUAUGAAUUGUCAACGCAAAGAGUCACAUGUACGUACUGUGCGUAUUUUCUCUGUGUCUUGCUGUUUCGUUUCGUUAACGGAGUCUCGGGAAGAGCAGACGGUGUUACUUUUGAUGAAGUCCUAUUUUUUACUUUUUCUCCCACAGCAAAUGUUUUUUGUGUCCUAGCUGAGGAAUCUUUGCUGGUCGGCGUUUCUUGUCCUUCCGGAAGUCACGUACCCUUCGCUUCUACAAACUGGCAUGGGACCCCCUUCCUGUGGGGUGGGGCUCAGGGGGAGACCAGGUGACCCUUGCUGCCAUCUCCCCUGCCCCGAGCCCUGGGUCUUCCUCGUCACAGCCCAGCCUGGGCCCAGGUGUCCGAGCCCAGGGUGCUAAGAGGGCGGUCCAGCGCACUGGAUGAGUGCCCUGAGGCUCAUGACAAAGGACCGCAAACCUGCCGCUGGCAACAACAGAAAUGUCUUCGUUUGCAGCUCUGCAGCUGGCUGGGGUCUGGCUGGCCCAGGGGAGUGGCCUCAGGGACCUGGUCUGGGCUGUGGCCCAGGAGACAGAGCGGUUCUCCACAAUCAUCGGGCCCGCGGACCCGAGAACAUCCAAAGCCACGUCUAACCCCCCCUGCUGCAGUGGCCUCUGGUGAUCGCACUCUUCAUAAGCACCGGCUCGUGCCGUGACCUGCAAACACAGGCCACCUAAGUCCCUCGGUCCGUGGGGGCCACCACCGUGUUGGUCUGGGUGGGCCGGGCUUGCCGCCGGAGCAGAGACUUUAGUCAUUGGAUUGAGGCUGGUGUCACUUUGAGGUUCUUUAAUCACAUCUGCAAAGACCUCUUUUUGAACACGGUCACAUUUAUGACCCACAUCUGGGAUCAGGAUGGGGACAUAUUUUUUGGAGAGAUGCUAUUCCACCCAGUACAGGGGCACUGAUGACACUCAGCCAGGCUCUCGGGGGAGGCCCGGCCCCUCGGCCCCCCGUGUCACACACUCUGGCUAACGGUCGCAACGGGGAUCUGACCACCCUGCCCCUCAGAGGACGGACGGAGCCAGGAGGCCAGCAGCCGGUGGCGGGUCUUUCCUCCCUGCCGGCUCUGUGCCCUGCACAGACGCAUCUUGCAGGCCCGGCCCCUCGGCAGUCCCUCUCUGCCACGAGUCAGCAGCGGGGAGCAAGGUGGCGGCGACUGAUAACCCCUCAGAACCUCGGCUUCCUCGUCUGCGAAGGGGAGAUAAUCACGUCUCCCCCACAUCCAUGGAGGCAGCCGAGGGGAAGGAGCUCGGAGUGCCCGUCCCUCACCUGUGACGGGCCCGG